ACCCGCUGAACUUAAGCAUAUCAAUAAGCGGAGGAAAAGAAACCAACAGGGAUUACCUCAGUAACGGCGAGUGAAGCGGUAACAGCUCAAAUUUGAAAUCCGGCUCUUUCGGGGUCCGAGUUGUAAUUUGUAGAAGAUGCUUCGGGUGUGGCUCCGGUCUAAGUUCCUUGGAACAGGACGUCAUAGAGGGCGAGAAUCCCGUAUGUGACUGGCUGCCUCCGCCCAUGUGAAGCUCUUUCGACGAGUCGAGUUGUUUGGGAAUGCAGCUCAAAAUGGGUGGUAUAUUUCAUCUAAAGCUAAAUAUUGGCCAGAGACCGAUAGCGCACAAGUAGAGUGAUCGAAAGAUGAAAAGCACUUUGGAAAGAGAGUUAAGCAGUACGUGAAAUUGUUGAAAGGGAAGCGCUUGCAAUCAGACUUGCACGCUACCGAUCAUCCGGUGUUCUCACCGGUGCACUCGGUUGCGUUCAGGCCAGCAUCGGUUUGGGUGGUUGGAUAAAGGCCUUGGGAAUGUAGCUUCUUUCGGGGAGUGUUAUAGCCCUCGGUGCAAUGCAGCCUAUCCGGACCGAGGACCGCGCUUCGGCUAGGAUGCUGGCGUAAUGGUUGUAAGCGACCCGUCUUGAAACACGG
rnacentral:rRNA from 1 species